CUUAAAGGGAAACGACUUUGGACUCACGUAGGCAUAGGAGAACGAAACUUCUGUACAUUUUAAUCUGAAUAAUUCUUCAGGAUUUAAAAUUAAUUGGCUCUGGCUUGGUUGGACCGUACUCGGAUCUCGCCACCUCUGCGUUUCCCGAGUCACUGGCGAAGAGGUCCCAGUUCCUCUGGGAAUCGUCCUGUAUGCAACAUCUUCACAAGAGUGGCAGGCAGUUGAAUCUCUGGCCUUCGUGGGACCACUGGACAUCUGGCAGAGAACCAGGAAACCACGGUUCCCUUCUGUGAGUCCCUCAGCCGGAAAACUACAAGAAUGAAAAAAAUGCAUGGCAUACAUCACCAAGAAUCAAAGGUUGUGCCUGGCAGUGUAAUUGACUAUGUAAUAAAGAGAGAAGCUUUGCUAGCUCCUCAUGCAGCUGCUGUCUACAGACCCCCUGGACUGCCUGGGGAAGUGAGUCGGAGCUCCUGCAGCAGAGGGGUGGAACAGCUACACGAAGAUCCGAAGGUGGCCAAAAAUAACAGCGCUUUCCAGAUGAGGGAGCCAGUUGUCCAGCACAGUGUCAUGGGACAGUGGGCCCUGGUGCCACAAUGCCCGGCAUCUCCACCAGAUACAGCUUUGAGAUCUUCAUGAUGAAGCUUGCUCCAAUCCAAGGGCUGUCAGGUGGGGUUUGCGGUUCAGCUGCUAACCUUUCUUUGAUCCAAAUCCUGUCUUCACUGGCUUCAAGAAUCCUGUCUUCACUGGCUUCAAAACUGGGAUGAAGGAGGCUCCUUAGUGGAGAGCAAAGCAAAGAGAAACUCAAAUUGGAUCCAUAUUAAAGAAGAGAAGGAUGGAUUUGUUUAGACAACACAAACCUAGGAAGGGUUUGAGAGGUGAAACAAACUGGGUUAUGGAUGAACGGGGGCAAUUGGAAUGUAGAAUUGAAGCAGUAAUUAACAUCUUGGUUUCAUCUGGGUGUUUGGCAUCAUGUUCAGAAAUGUGAAAAAUAAAAUUCAGCACCGUUAUUACUGAAUUAGAUAAAAUGAUUGUAUUUAAUUAAUCCGUAAAUAUUAACUAAUUAUUCUGUUUACCAUAACAUGUAAUGAAUAUAAUUCUCCACCAGGCAAAUAAAGAAAGAAAGAUGUAAUUAGGUGAUUUAAGCAUAAA
rnacentral:lncRNA from 10 species